GCGGGCGUAGCUCAGUUGGUAGAGCAUCAGCUUCCCAAGCUGAGGGUCGCCGGUUCGAAUCCGGUCGCCCGCU
rnacentral:tRNA from 2 species